rnacentral:snRNA from 1 species
UUGCUUUGGCAGCACAUAUAUUAAAAAUUGGAAUGAUACAGAGAAUAUUAGCAUGGCCCCUGCGCAAGGAUGACACGCAAAUUUGUGAAGCAUUCCAUAUUUUU